UCUCUCUCGAGACGGACGUGUACGUGCCACGACGCCACCCAUUCUAGGCUUCUCAUCUCAAGCCUCCGCCGACCGCCGCCUCCGUGCUGCCGCUUCUCGACGAGCCGUUGCUCCGGCCUCCGGGGAACCUCGUAUUGGGACCACUCCAGAUACCAGCCGACCACGGAGUAUCGGACGCCGGAGACGCCGCUGUCCGGCGGCCCCCUCACCAGGUGAAAAACAGGGUCUAUUUUGUGCAAGAACUUACAUACCCAUAUUUAGUUAUCUGCACCUCCCAAGUUGUUGAUAAAAUAUGGAUGAUGGGGAGAUAGAGCUUUCCAGCCAAAUGAUGUUUCCAAAUCCAGAGACUCCUACCAGCCUUGAUGAUUUCAUGCCAAGCAUCAGGACAACAUGCACCCACACUCAUACAUGUAACCCACCUGGUCCGUCAGCAAUCACACACACCCAUACAUGCUACCACACUCACACUCAAGUCCUCAGCACAGAUGAUGAUAGCUGCGGAGAUGAUAAAACUAAGCGUAAGAAGGCCAGCAAGCCAUUGGGCAACCGUGAGGCUGUCCGCAAGUACAGGCAGAAGAAGAAGGCUCAUACAGCACAGUUGGAGGAGGAAGUGAAGAAGCUGCGUGCCAUCAACCAGCAGCUGGUGAAGAGGCUGCAAGGGCAGGAUGCACUUGAAGCUGAAGUGGUAUGGUUGAGGUCGUUACUGGUGGAUGUGCGAGCGAAGAUCAAUGGUGCGCUGGGUAGUUACCCGUUUCAAGCGCAAUGCGGCAUUGGGAAUGUUUCAGGUUGCGAUGGAAUGGCACAGUGCUUUUGUGGGAAAAUCGGAGCUGGGUGUGAGUCAGAGUGGUGAACCUCGUCUAAUGAACUGCCAUGUCAGCCCGGGUUCAGGGCAGAACUUGGUGGUGCCCAUGCUUUAAGCCGGAAGCUUCAUGGUCUCAUCUACCUCAAGGGAUGAGUAGAUAAUUUAAGGAGAUUUGUUUCGGUCCAAUAAAAAGCACCUGAGGUAUUAGAUCAUUUCUCAUCAUUGAAUCUAGCUGAGUAGAAUGUGCGCUGUUAGAUCCAACGAUCAGAAACGGUUUGGUACCACAAGGUACCGGUAUCUCGAGAUACUUUUUGUUGGACUGUAAAAUUGCUCUAAUGUAAGUAUUCUUUUGUUGAGCAUUACUUCCGUCCAACAGAUGGUAGUUGCCGGUACCAGUACCGGCCGGUACUGAGACUAAUCCAGCCGUUCAUUCCCAGGGUUACAAUUGGUUUUUUCUGUGUUUUGACUAGUA